rnacentral:RNase_P_RNA from 1 species
ACCGCAGACCGCCUUAUCGUCGUCCUGAUUUAUUGGGAGGGAGGAAAGUCCGGACACCAGAGAGAGGCAUAGCGGGUAACACCCGUCGGCGUUAGUGAUAGCGUCAGGACAAGUGCAACAGAAAGUAUGUACAGGUAAUGCUGUAGUGAAACCAGGUAAACUCUAUGCGGUGAAAUACCAAGUAUAUCAGCAUUUAAGGGCUUCUCGUCCGUUGCUGAAGGGUAGGUAGCUUGAGUCCCGCAGUAAUGCGGGAUCUAGAUAAAUGAUAAGGUAUUGUUAGCAAUAACAAGAACAGAAUCCGGCUUACAGGUCUGCUUUUUUA